GUAUUCAUGACCUUGUUAAGUCCCGCCCACCAGCUGGAGGAGGUCGUAUUUAAUGCACGGUUCAGCGUAUCUCGGUCUCACUUUUCUCUCAUUUCCUCGGGCAGGAGGUGGCUGCCAUGGACUACACGAAGAAUGACAUCUAUUGCGGAACUUGAUAUAAGUACAGGAAAUGAAGCGGACACAGUUAUCCAGUGUCUGCCAUAAAACAAGAAUUGGUGGUGACCUUGUUCCCCUUCGAUAUGGGCACCCCCUGGACAAAUUGGAAGACUGCCCCGCCUUUAUGGAAAUUGUCACGUAUAUCUAAAAUCACAUCGUGCUAGAAAUGACAGCUCUACUCCCUUCAGUUCUUCGGCACAAAUGCUAUCGAAAUCGUAUUGGCAAAUAGGUGACAAGGAUUACGGACUCUCGUCCAAGAUGUCUUCGCGUGCCCAGCUGGAGCGGAGUGGCUGGUUGGCACUGUCCAUCAAGCACACGGUUGGAACUACAUACGACGUUGUUGUUACCUAGCUCCUGGCGCUAGGUUUAGUGUAAAAUCAGAGCUGCAUUAUUGAUACGGAAGAUUUUCAUAGAUGAAGUCUCAUUUGAAAGUUAAUCAUUGAGAAGCUGAAAAUUUUAAACUCGAGAGAAAAAUAAAAGUUUUUCUGUAUCAUCUAUCUAUGAUGAAAUUGCUUACGAAAUUCUCAUUUCUUUAAUAGGAUAAAAGACAACUUCACAAACAUUGCCUUCUAUUAAAUUCUGUAAUGAUAGUUUAGAUACUUUACAGCCUGCCCAAGAUAAAUUUUUUUUCCUGUAACUUAAAAACUUAAUUUCAUUUUUAAUAUUUUUCCGGCUUCAUUCAUAAAAGAUUUCAUCAUAGCAUGAAAUAUAUCGUGACCUCCUGCCCAGUUAUUUUCUUGAAGGCUUUUCCUUGAAAAAAUUAAGCUUUAAAGUAUUAUUUAUGGAUUAUUUUUCAGUGCAGUUAACCAAAGAAGUGAUUAUGUCAAUUAAGGUUUUUUUUUAUUGUUUUAUCUUAACAGGAAACUCUAUCAAGUUCUAGUUAUUCCCUUAUGUUUUCAUUUGUUUAUUUUUUUUACAAACAAACGUGGCCUCUAAUUGGCGAACACUUAUUCUUGGCUUGAUUACUUUUUUUUCUUCAGCUAUAAAACUCUUCGGACAAGUCAAUAACUUUCACUUUUAAGAAUAAUAUUCAAUUGCUUAUAAGCAUAAAUAUUUACUCUCAUUAGAAUCGAAGGAAUUUCGACAAUGGUCUCAUUCAAACUGUUUUCUGUAGCCACUGGUGUUUUUUAUUUUUAUUUCAUUUUUACAUCUCAAGUUUUCCUUUACCCUAAUUCCGUUUUUUACUACAUAUUUGUUCCUUCAGAGAUAAAUGCUUAGUCGCGUUUUUCUUAAUUUCUACAGCGUUCAAAUAUUUUCUCUAUUAUAUUUCUUCCAUUUUUUCCUUCGUCAAUAUAUAUUCAGUUUUAUUUUUCCUUAUUGAUUUCUUGUAAAACUGAAAUCAUCUUGUACUUCAUUCUUAAUCAAACAAAAAAAUUAUAGGGUGUAAAAUUACCAGCAUUACCUUAUGUAAAUAUCUUCAAGCUGCAUGCCUAAGUCAGUUUUUUUUUUACUCUCUCUCUCUUUAUCGACAUUUUUGUCACUUUACUCUGAGAAAAAUGUUAUAUAUAACUCGAGCAAGACUGAUUACUUGAGACUCUGAAUAUUAUUUGACAUAAUAUUUUUUUUAUAAUGUUUUAUUCACAAGUUUAAUAUCUAAUUAUUAAUCAUUGAAAAUUAAUUAACUUAUUUCAAGGAAAAGCCUUAACUAUGCAUCUCCUCUCACUAUUUUAUAGACAUUCUACUCCUUUACCUAUUCCUUUCUUUCAUUAUCAUUCUUUCACCAUCGCUUUCAAGAUGAAUUUCCUUGAGCAGUUCAUCAGCCUAUUCUUAGACAUUUUCUCUUCACCUUUCGUUAAUCAUCCUUUUACUCCACCCAUUCCUUCGAACAAGGUUGAACAAACUUCUUGUUUUACUAUCAUCCUUGGUAUUCUUCAAUUCUUUUUUAUUAUUACUCCUUGCUAUUCUUCAGUUACUCCACUCCAUUCAUACCUUUCUUGGAACCUACUCCGAGCCUCAAGAAAAAAACACAAAAUACGGACAGCAUUUGUUGGAAACUCAGAGAUUACUGUAUUAAACAAAUAGAACAGAUAGAUAAAAUCAAGUCAAAUAUGCUUGGGACACGGAGAUACUGCAAUACAUGUACAAACGUACAGAUACAUAUCUAUAUAUGCACAGUAACAUGGACAUUCACACAUGCAAAUACAUACAUACAUACACAGCUGUACCGCAGGGAACAGCUGCAAGCAUAUACAUUCUACAUCACGCGUUUGUGUGAUUAUAAUCAUACAUACAAACAUUUAUACAUGCACGCAGGCAAACAUACACACACACACACACACACAUAUAUAUAUAUACUUACAUACAUAAAUACAUACAUAUGCGUGUGUGUGUGUUUUACCAAUAAAAAUCGUCCGUCUCAUAAGACAGUAUUGUCGAAGACAUGACUUGUUUUGUUAUAUAUACGAGAAAGCUGUUGUCAUAAUACAUCCGACGUUUUCAUGAAAUGUCAUGCCUGACAUGAAUACAAUAUGCUAUGUGAAUUAUGAUGUUGAAAUGACGCUAAUACAAUGACAUUGUUAGGAUGUUAAUGUAGAUUAUGUUCAAUGUAAAAAUGUCCGUUUAUAACAGAUCCAAUGGAAAAAUUUUCGAAAAAAAAUGUUUUUGGGUUGAGGAUGAGAAUCAUGAAACAAAGAGAUAAUUCGAUAAAAAUCCGAAAAUGUGCUCAGCAUAACAUGUAUAAAUAAAAUAAAAUUUGCCGAGCCA